GACGAACGCUGGCGGCGUGCCUAAUACAUGCAAGUCGAACGCAUUUUCUUUCACCGUUGCUUGCUCCACCGAGAGAAACUGAGUGGCGAACGGGUUAGUAACACGUGGGCGACGUGCCCAUCAGCGUGGGGUAACACGUGGCAACAGGUGCUAAUACCGCCUAAUUCCAUUUACCGCAUGUUAGAGGGUUGAGAGGCGCUUUUUGUUCACUUGUGGAUGGACCCGCGGUGCGGUAGCUAGUUGGGGGGGUAACGGCCUACCAAGGCUGAGAUGCAUAGCCGGGCCGGGAAGGUGAGCGGCCCCACCGGGAAUGGGACACCGCCCCGACCUCUACGGGAGGGAACAGGAGGGGAUCUUCGGAAAAGGGGGCAAGGCUUAACGCGCACCGCCGGGGGAGAGGAGAAGGGUCUCGGGUCGUAAAACUACGUUGUUCGGGAAGAAAAAGGAUGAAGGUGGAACGUUCACCCCUUGACGGUAUCUAAACAGAAAGCAACGGCUAACUACGUG
rnacentral:rRNA from 1 species